CUGUAUAUUCAUGUUCUCAUCACCUGGUUCUGAAGCAUUUUUGCAUUGACAUGAUGUUUUGUUUGCACAAAAUAUAUAUUAUACUCAAUUGAACACCAAUGUUGUAUCUAAACCAACUCAAAAUGCGUUCGUAGAAAUAAGACUGGAUAGUUUGUUUAGGUGCCGCUAAAAGCUACAGCUUCAAGUUUAUAUUGCCUUCUAUUUAUAGUACAACAUAGCUA
rnacentral:lncRNA from 1 species